GACGAAUGAGCCUCGAAAACGCA
rnacentral:siRNA from 1 species